GAUCAAGUGGUUUAAUUAGUAUGACGUCUGCUUUACACGUAGGAGAUGGGUUGUGCCCCGUGAUUA
rnacentral:tRNA from 1 species